UACGUAGGUGGCGAGCGUUGUCCGGAUUUACUGGGCGUAAAGGGAGCGUAGGCGGACUUUUAAGUGAGAUGUGAAAUACUCGGGCUCAACUUGAGUGCUGCAUUUCAAACUGGAAGUCUAGAGUGCAGGAGAGGAGAAUGGAAUUCCUAGUGUAGCGGUGAAAUGCAUAGAGAUUAGGAAGAACACCAGUGGCGAAGGCGAUUCUCUGGACUGUAACUGACGCUGAGGCUCGAAAGCGUGGGGAGCAAACAGG
rnacentral:rRNA from 1 species